GAUUGCUGGACAGCUUUUUCUUUAUACCUCGAGGCUUUCUUUGAAGGAGUCGGAGCAUUUACAAGGCCGCCUCAAGAGGGAUUGAGUCGGCGGAGGACUAGCAACCUAGCAGUAUUUGCUUAGGUUGUAAAACCGCGACUUUAUCUAAUUAAAUAAAUCGCCAUUCACGGUGCAAAUAGAAACUUGUAACAGAGUUGCCCAUGGCACCUUGGUGGAACUACAAAAUGUUCAUUUUUAAUUAUCCCAGAGGACUUUUAGGAGAAAGAGUGAUGUUGAAAUUAUAUAAUAAACUUCAUUUCCUGUAUUUAUUGCAUCAGCUAUUGAUUCAAACUAGCUUUUAAAAUUUACUUUUUAAAAUUGACCGUUUCCUGAUUUUUAUAGUGUAAUUAUUGAACAUUUUCAGUUAGAUAUUUAAGAAAAUCCCUUUGUUCUCACACUGAGAGAUUGACUGAUUAGCCUGAGCUCAUUGGUGUUGUGAUGGAAAAUUUUGCAAGUUCUUGAAUAGCCACAGUAAUCAGAAAUACCAGUCAAACAAGAUAUUUUAAUGAUUAGUGUCAUUAGAGGCAAGAGCAGUGACACCAAAAUUCUUUAGGAGACAGCCUAAUAACUUAGUUUUGGAUGGAAAUAAGGCUUCAUUUCUCAUAAUUCCUCACUUUUUGAUUUUUGUUUUUAGUUUUUUUGAGACGGGGGUCUCACUCUGUCACCCAGGUGGGAGGGCAGCGGCUCACUGCAACCUCCGCCUCCCAGGCUCAAGCGAUUUUACCACCUCAGCUUCCCAAGUAGCUGGGACCACAGGUGCAUGCCACCACAGCCAACUAAUUUUGUGUAUUUUUGGUAGAGAGGGGGUUUUCCACGUUGCCCAAGCUGGUCUCAAACUCCUGAGUUCAGACACUCCCCAAGCCUUGGCUUCCCAAAGUGCUGGGAUUAUAGGCAUGUCUGGCCAAUUCCAUAUUUGAAAUUUAAGAGUAUAAUUCUCACAAGACUUCAGACUUCAUGACUGCCACUGCAUAGAAUCUCUCAGUUGAUUACGUCUCCAUGGCAUCUUUUUUUUCAUUAGGUGCCAUCAACUGUAGAUAAGGUCUUUUCUUCAAAUAUGAUGUUGCCAUCUCUAGGUUAACAGCCAGCUGACAUCUGUUACAUGUAUAACAGUUAAUUUCUUUAAAAAGGGGAACAGAGGAAGAAUGAGGCUUAGCCUACUCCAAGAGAAUCCUCAAGUAGAUACUUUAAAAACAUUAUUAUUAUUAUUAUUAUUAUUUUUGAGACGGAAUCUUGCUCUGUCACCCAGGCUAGAGUGCAGUGGCACAAUCUCAACUCACUGUAACCUCCACCUCCCAGGUUCAAUCAAUUCUGUCUUAGCCUCCCAAAUAGCUGGGAUUACAAGUGCCCACCACCAUGCCUGGCUAAUUUUUAUAUUUUUAGUAGAGACGGGUUUUCGCUAUAUUGGCUAGGUUGGUCUCGAAUCCUUAACCUCAGGUGAUCUGCCUACCUCAGCCUCUCAAAGUACUGGAAUUACAGGCAUGAGCCACCACACCUGGCCUAAAAAUGUUAAUUCUUUAUAAAUUAUAUGUUUGGACUAUUUUUAGACUUGUUUUAAAUUUAUUCUUUUCUAUUUUUCAAGUUUUAGAAAGCCAGAGCGAGAGGGAGGUCAUUUCAUUAUGAAUUUUUUUUUAAACACGAGUCACUUGAGUUGUUAAAAUAACUCCAACAUAUUCAUGAAGGAUCUUCACAAAAUGGACUUAAAUGUGAAAGUUGACUUUCGUUGAGCCUCAGAAAUCAAACACAUUUUUAGUCAAUAGCACUAAAUAUUUAUGACAUCAAAGGCGAAGACCAAGGGCUUCCCUCUGACCAGCACUCCAUGAGGCACAAGGAUUUCAGCAGAUUGUGGUGACCACGGAAACAGACAUCUCUGGUGCCCUCCAUUUCUGGGAGAUAAUCAGUUUGUUGUCCCACUGCCUGCUUGUGUCAGUGCUCUAUGUGGGCACCAAUACAUGCCUCUUUGUAAAGCAAAAAUGAGCACAUUUCUCUCAAUAAAACGGUAUAAACUA